AUUGAACGCUGGCGGCAUGCCUUACACAUGCAAGUCGAACGGCAGCACGGGUGCUUGCACCUGGUGGCGAGUGGCGAACGGGUGAGUAAUACAUCGGAACAUGUCCUGUAGUGGGGGAUAGCCCGGCGAAAGCCGGAUUAAUACCGCAUACGAUCCACGGAUGAAAGCGGGGGACCUUCGGGCCUUGCGCUAUAGGGUUGGCCGAUGGCUGAUUAGCUAGUUGGUGGGGUAAAGGCCUACCAAGGCGACGAUCAGUAGCUGGUCUGAGAGGACGACCAGCCACACUGGGACUGAGACACGGCCCAGACUCCUACGGGAGGCAGCAGUGGGGAAUUUUGGACAAUGGGCGAAAGCCUGAUCCAGCAAUGCCGCGUGUGUGAAGAAGGCCUUCGGGUUGUAAAGCACUUUUGUCCGGAAAGAAAUCCUUGACUCUAAUACAGUCGGGGGAUGACGGUACCGGAAGAAUAAGCACCGGCUAACUACGUG
rnacentral:rRNA from 1 species